rnacentral:sRNA from 1 species
GGGAGGAUGGAGAGUGGUUUGGGGUUUGGGGUCAGGCUCUAAGGUGAUCAGUUGCAGAAGCAUUACAUGGUGGCCUGGUUUCUUUACUCAGCCCCUGGGGUAGAUCACAGCCCCCCAGGUAGGUCCUUUCGCUGGAAAAGGAAGAGGGAGUGGUCAGACGAAUCUGAGGAGUCAUUGGAGGAGGAGCCAAAGAAGGAGCUCGUCCCUGAGCCUGAGGAGACCUGGGUGGCGGAGACACUGUGUGGCCUCAAGAUGAAGCCGAAGAGACGGCGAGUGUCGCUCGUGCUCCCUGAGCACCACGAGGCCUUCAACAGGCUGCUUGCUAUCUGGCCAAUGACAUGGAGGAGGACGACGAGGCCCCCAAAGAAAACAUCUUUUACUUCCUGUACGGGAAGACCCGCUCUCACAUACCCUUGCUCCGUAAGCGUCGGUUCCGGUUAUGCCGUUCCAUGAACUGGAGGGCCAGGAAGAACCGCUCUCCGAUAGCCUUGUUCCAGAAGCUUCGGUUCCAGUUCUUCUGUUCCAUGCGCUGCAGGGCUUGGGUUUCCCCGGAGGAGUUGGAGGAGAUCCAGGCUUAUGACCCAGAGCACUGGGUAUGGGCGCGAGAUCGCGCCCGCCUUUCCUAGAGCUCCAGGGACAUGGAGGCCUGAGGUCAUCGGCCUGAGAGAAGGUACAUCUGUAUCCUCCGGGGUAAAGGCAGAUAUUGGGUCUAUUUCGGAAAUCCAGGAACCCAAUUGCUUGAUCCGGCUUCAAGCCUGGGCAACGUGGCGAGAUCCCCUCUCCACAAAAAUACAAAAAUUAGCCAGGCGAUGUGGGAAGCAUCUCUACUCCCAACUACUCAGGAGGCUGAGGCGGGAGGAUGGCUGGAGCCUGGGAGGUCAGGGCUGCAUGGAGCCCUGAUCCUGCCACUGCACUCCAGCCCAGGAGACAGAGUGAGACCCUGCCUCAAAAAUAAUCAUAAUUACUGAGUUCGAGGAGGUUCAUUAUGAUUGAUGCACUUGAGUUCCGAUUUGGGUCGAGGGUUCAGUGAAGCUUUGGUUUACAUCUUGUGCAGCUAACCACGUUGAGCACAGAGCAUGAGACUUCAUCAUGAGGAGGUAGGAUUAGGGAUUAGGCUUCUGGACUCGUGGUUCGUGAUGUUGUCACAUUAGAAACACAUCUAGCAUGGUUACAAGUUUAGAUCUUAAGUGACACAAAAGGCCCCAGCUGUGAUGAAGUCCAAAGCCACAUUCUCUGAGGGCGCCCUACUCCCUGGGCAGACCCACCCAAAGUCCUCGCUAUGAAGCAGAUCACUGGGGCUGACCUUGGGAGUAUUAAGUGAGUUUUGGAGUCAUGGUCACCGAAGUGCGAGUAUCACAGUUGAACACGAUGGUUCAGAAGCAGGGUACAGAAUGAAAGGCAGGAGAUAAAAUUGCUCUGAACUCUAGUUAGACUUGACAUGGGACGUGAAUAACCUUCCUGUCUAGAGAGCUGCCUCCUUGAAGUGUGACAGCGUCUCUCUCACUUCCAGAACACCGGGCCCAGGGGAGAUGUGGAUUUUCCGCAGGAACUUUAUUCCAAUGCUCAUGGCAGACACCAGGAAGGAGGAGAGGAGCCGUUUGUGCAGAUCAUCUGGAAGAACCUGGACCGUUCUUGAUGGAGCUGAAUACAGUGAUCACGUUGUCCUCCUAGGAGCAGGGGUGGAGGGUGGGGGGUGGGGUACUUCUAGGAGUCCUUGGAGAAAAGUAAGAAACCAGGAGUGUUUCCAGUUCCACCCUUUCCUG